rnacentral:tRNA from 1 species
AGUCCGAUGGUGUAACGGUAGCACCACAGUUUUUGGUACUGUUUGUCUAGGUUCGAAUCCUGGUCGGACUACGA